CCGUGUUCAAGCGCGGGGAGUCAAACGGGCACGACCCGAAACCGGACGAUCUAGACAUGGACAAGGUGAAGCGUGCCGAAAGGCACGUGGAGGCCUGUUAGCGUUGGUGUCCUACAAUACCCUCGCGUGAUCUAUGUCUAGGGGGGAAAGGCCCAUCGAGUCCGGAAACAGCUGGUUCCAACCGAAAAAUGUCGAAGCAUUACCUCUGCCGAGAUAGUUCGUGAGGUAGAGCUACGGAUUGGGGGACCGCACUCCGAGAGGAGUGCGCCCCCCUGUCCAACUCCGAACUUACGAACGUCGUUUGACGCAGGGAGUUCGGUGCACGGGGUAAGCCUGUGUACCGUAAGGGAGACAACCCAGCGCCGGGUUAAGGUCCCCAAGUGUGGAUUAAGUGCGAUCGAAGGUGGUCUCAAGCCCCAGACAGCCGGGAGGGGAGCUUAGAAGCAGCUACCCUCUAAGAAAAGCGUAACAGCUUACCGGCCGAGGUUUGAGGCGCCCAAAAUGAUCGGGGCUCAAAUCCACCACCGAGACCUGGCCGUGCCCCUGACAGGGCAACCGUGUAGGUUGGCGUUCUGUUCGGGUGGAAGCGCGAACGAGAGUUCGUGUGGACCGUUCAGAAACGAAAAUCCUGGUCAUAGUAGCAGCGUGAGUCGGGUGAGAACCCCGACGGCCGAACGAGUAAGGGUUCCUCAGCAAUGCUAAUCAGCUGAGGGUUAGCCGGUCCUAAGUCUCACCGCAGUUCGACUGAGACAACAGGGAAACAGGUUAAUNAAGGGUUCCUCAGCAAUGCUAAUCAGCUGAGGGUUAGCCGGUCCUAAGUCUCACCGCAGUUCGACUGAGACAACAGGGAAACAGGUUAAUAUUCCUGUGCCGGUAUGCAAUCAAAGUUGACGCUUCGGGGCCGCUCGAACCGGGCAGUCGCCCGGUCAAACAGUCGAAGAGCGUGGAAGCCGUAAUGGCACGAAGCGAUCGAAUGGCUGGAUAGCGUAAGUCGAGCCAACCUGGAGCCCGUGAAAAGACGAGCAUACCGUCCGUACCGAGAUCCGACACAGGUACUCGUGGCAGCGAAAGCCAAGGUCUGUCGGGAAUAACCGACGUUAGGGAAUUCGGCAAGUUAGUCCCGUACGUUCGCAAUAAGGGAUGCCUGCCCUGCAAUGGGGCAGGUCGCAGUGACUCGGGCGCUCCAACUGUCUAGUAACAACAUAGGUGACCGCAAAUCCGCAAGGACUCGUACGGUCACUGAAUCCUGCCCAGUGCGGGUAUCUGAACACCCANAACUGUCUAGUAACAACAUAGGUGACCGCAAAUCCGCAAGGACUCGUACGGUCACUGAAUCCUGCCCAGUGCGGGUAUCUGAACACCCAGUACAAUGGGACGAAGGACCCGUUAACGGCGGGGGUAACUAUGACCCUCUUAAGGUAGCGUAGUACCUUGCCGCUUCAGUAGCGGCUUGCAUGAAUGGAUCAAUGAGAGCGCCACUGUCCCAACGUUGGGCCCGGUGAACUGUACGUUCCAGUGCGGAGUCUGGAGACCCCCAAGGGGAAGCGAAGACCCUAUNGAGAGCGCCACUGUCCCAACGUUGGGCCCGGUGAACUGUACGUUCCAGUGCGGAGUCUGGAGACCCCCAAGGGGAAGCGAAGACCCUAUAGAGCUUUACUGCAGGCUGUCACUGAGACGUGGUCGCCAUUGUGCAGCAUAGGUAGGAGCCGUUACACAGGUACCCGCGCUAGCGGGCCACCGAGGCAGCAUUGAAAUACUACCCGAUGGUGACUGCGACUCUCACUCCUGGCGGAGGACACUGGUAGCCGGGCAGUUUGACUGGGGCGGUACGCGCCUGAAAAGAUAUCGGGCGCGCCCCAAGAUUUCCUCACCCGCGUCGGAGACGCGGGAAAGAGCGCAAGAGCAUACGGAAGUCUGACAGUGUCCGGCCUAACGACGGACGCUGACGCGAAAGCGUGGUCUAGCGAACCAAUUAGGCUGCUUGAUGCGGCCAAUUGCUGACAGAAAAGCUACCUUAGGGAUAACAGAGUCGUCACNGAGGUUGUUCGCCUAUUAAAGGAGGUCGUGAGCUGGGUUUAGACCGUCGUGAGACAGGUCGGCUGCUAUCUAUUGGGGGUGUGAGGUUCCUGACAGGAACGUUCGUAUAGUACGAGAGGAACUCCGAAUGGGUGCCACUGGUGUACCGGCUGUUCGACAGAGCACGUGCCGGGUAGCCACGCACCACGGGGUAAGAGCUGAACGCAUCUAAGCUCGAAACCCACCUGGAAAAGAGGAACCACUGAGGCCACUUCUAGAAGAGAAGAUCGAUAGACUCGGGGNAAGAGCUGAACGCAUCUAAGCUCGAAACCCACCUGGAAAAGAGGAACCACUGAGGCCACUUCUAGAAGAGAAGAUCGAUAGACUCGGGGUGUACGCGUCGAGGCAACGAGACGUUGAGCCCGCGAGCACUAA
rnacentral:rRNA from 1 species